CGGUGUUCCACCCUAUGCUCCGCCUUCUUAUCCUAAAGUUCGAGGCUGAGAAUAAUACGCUUGCUCACGUGGGUAAAUCGUCAGCUCGGGGGCGUCGCCGGGGUGGGGCUUUGACUUUGACCCUGAGUCAGCUAUGAAGAAACCGAGGCUGAGAGAUUAAAUGACCCAUCCAGCAAUCAAGUCUUCCUGACCCCAAACCCAAUGCUCCAUCCAUUGUCUUCAAAUGUUUUAUCAAACUAUUCUCCCUUGGUGGGAUUUGAUGUUCAACCUUGGGCAAAAUUCUUGAUGGCUCCAUUUUUCCUCCUCUGGUCUUUACUUCCCAAAUCAAUAACCCCAAAACAUUGAAGUAAUGAACAUUGUGUGGCUGGGAGAGACAACAGAGGUCACCUAACCCAACUGGCCCAUCUAAUGGAAAAGGAAAUGGAGUAUCAAAGAGACCAAGUGAUUUCUCAAGAAGCCUGAAAACUUGAGAAGAAAAAGAACAGCUCCAUAGUUAAGGCAAUUUUGGCUCAUAAGGAGUUGUCAAGCAAAGUUUCCAUAACCAGGGAUGAAGAUACUACAUCUCAUUCAUUUGACAACCAUUUAUUAAGCAGCGAUCUAUUUACUGGACCCUGUUCUGGACACUGGGAUAGACAUGAGGACAAAGAAGAAAUAUUCACUGCUCUCAAGAAGCUUAUGUUCAUUGCCCCUUAGGGGGACGGGGUAUAUAUAUAUGUAUACGUAUAUGUAAAUAAAAAUAUACAUAAAGUAAAGACACAGUCUGUAUGAACACUAGGAACUAAAGGGCUCAGACCUUAUCAGGGAGAUGUUAAGUAAGCUUAGCUUUGAAGGAAGUUGAUAUUUCAGGAAAUACAGUGAGGCGAGAGUAUUUCAGCCGUGGAGGGUAGGCAAAGGCAAAGGCAGAGGCGAGAGUGGAAAUGCUAUAUAUUGUACUGGAAGCUGUAAGUCUGGCUUUCAAUGUAGAAUUCGUGACAGGCAGUAAGGUAGAAGAAGCCUGGAAAAGAAGGCUGGAGCCAGACUGUGAGGGCUUUUUAAAAUGCCAAACAUAGAAAUUUGUAUUUUGUUCUAUACACACUAGGGAGCUAUUUGAGUUUCUUGAUCCAGAGCAGUGACAUAGUGUCAGAGACAUUUCACACUCACUUUUUUGGGGACCAAAUCAUUAGCAAAACUGAAGAAGAACACAUGGAUCAGGAACAGUUUUGUUUUGUUAUUUGUUGUUUUUCUUAAUAGGUGUUGAAUUUGAAACGUGACAAUAUUAAUAAUAAUAAAUUGAAUAAUAAUAUAAUAAUUAUAUCAUUUAAUGCCUUAUUAUAAAUUAUAACUGUAUAAUUAAUAAUAUGAAGCAAAGCUUGAUAUCUCACUUACCAAUUCCCCCACUGCAAAUGGCUUCUUUACCAUUAGCCAUCAGAUAGCUAGCUAUCUGAUCUCAGGCAGUAAUCAGAGAGCUCCUCCUCCCUCAGCUUUUCAGCUCAAAUAGUCUCUUAAGAAAGGAUGAGAGGAUUGAGAGAGAUAACUAAGUAUUUCCCUUGAAGUUUUUCUAAGACAGGAUGGAAAACAGGUAUGUCUGAUUGCUGGAGUGAGAAUAUCCCUGGUGACGUGAUAUAUGUUCACGUCUUGGUGGAAUUCACUGGGGCUCCAACACAUGGUGGAACUUUUAUUCCAAGAAAGAAAGAAACAUGAGCACAUUUCACCUGUGGGCAGGCACGAGGGCUUGUAUUGCCCAAUUGUCAUGGGGUGGUGACGCCAUCCAUACACAAACAAAUGUGUGGAUAGGGGAACAUUCAUUCCACUUGGCCCCAGUACAUUGUGCAAAUGUUCACAACUGCCCUACCCAGAAGGUUUAAUGUUAGUGAUAAAAAAAAAAAAAAGUGUUGCCAGGAUUGAUGGGGAAUAAACGAGCUGGCUCUUGGGACUUUGCCUAAAGCAGCUCAAGCCUGAGUGGGUAGCUGGGAAGGUCGUGUUACUUCCCAUUUGUUAGCACUGCAGUUAAUUUUUCAGUUUCUCCCUGUUGUUAAAACGAUGAUGGGCAUUUUGCCUCAUGAAAUAAAUUGCAAAAAUAAGAAAAAAUGGUGAUUUUUUUCACACCCCUAUGACUUGGGAGUUUGGGAAGGAGCUUUGCUGGACUCCAAACUUCUGAAUUCACAGAAAGGACCUUUUUUUUUUUUUUGGUGUGGGCUCCUUCCAACUGGCAGCCUCACCUGCUUUCCUUCGCCACACAGCACAAGCUCAAGCACUCAAGGGAGCCGUGUGUCCAAUAUCAUGGCUAAGGGCUUGUCAGCUUUGCUGAGGUGGAAAUAGAAAACACAGCCGCUUGGCUUCCAUCUUUUGGGCACAUUCUAAGGAGACUUGUUGGCUUGGCUGGGGCAAGGAUAUGAUGCCAGCCAUGAGGGUGCUUGUGCUGGAGGUAAUUUCAGAGUGCUGUGGGUCAUGGUUAUCAUCAACAAUGCUCUGUCACUGGCUAUGAACAUCUUUGUAGGUGAGACCAUAGGAACAUAUUAAAAGUAGAAGAGAUCAUAGAGGGUUCUAGUCCAGCUUUCUCUUUUAUACAUGAAGGAAAUUUAAGAUUAAAAUUAAUAUCCAAUAACUCCAAGUGUUUUAUAAGAUUUAUUAAUAAUCACUUGAAGUAAAGGAAUAAAAAGGUAAUUAUCUAACAAAAUAAAGUCACAUGCCCAAGUUCUCCUUGUCUGUUUAAAAGAACUGCUCCAUCAAAGUCACAUCAGGAAGAGAAGAGAGAGAGGGUGGAGUUACAGAAAGUUUUAACUAUAAAACAUAAGGAUAGAACUUGAGGAUGAAAUUGGAAUUCUGGGAAAUGGAGUCCUGGGGUACAAAAUUCUAAUUACAUGAAACUGAGGCCCAAAGAAUAAGGGGCAGAGUCAGAAUUCAGACUCAGGUCAUCUGACUGCAGUGUCAAUGCUCUUUUCCCUAUUCCAUAUUCCCAAAAUGAUGGUGGUAGGUUUGCCAAGGAGAAAAACUCAAUGAUCUGGCAUUUGCGCUUCCAUACACCAUAUCUAGAACAAUGCUUAAUCUUCUUUCCAUUCAUUUGUUUAUUUAUUCCUUUAGUCAAUAACAAGCAUUUAUUGAGUGACUACUCUAUGCCCGGCACUGUCCUAGGUGCUAGUUGCCACAACAAGAAGAUGGUCCAAUCAUGCUCUAGGAGCUUCCAUUAGAAGGAGGAGGGUGCACAUUGAAAAGAGUACUAGAGAGGGGUCUGGAGCAGUGGGUUCUAUACCAGACUCCAUCAGUCUGGAACUUUGAACAAAUGAUUGGAAUUCUUUGUAAUUAUUUUCUCAUCCACCUAAUGACAUGAUGACUCUUGCACUGUCUCCUGCAAGGAAUAAUGAUGAGGACCAAAUAAGAUCAACUCAUAUUUUGUCAUGGUGCAUGUGCUAUUUAGAGAAAUAGAUAGUACAGUGGCUAGAAAGCUCGAUUUGGAUUUGUAAAGACUUGAGUUUGAAUCCUGCUUUAGGGACCCUGAUUUAGCUAUGUGAUUCUGGGAAGUCUAGGUUUCUGUGUUUGUUAAAUGGGGAGAAUGACAGCAUAGACCUGUCAGGAUUGUUAUGAGGAUAUGAGAUAACUAUAAAAUAUUC